rnacentral:rRNA from 1 species
UACGAAGGGGGCUAGCGUUGCUCGGAAUCACUGGGCGUAAAGCGCACGUAGGCGGAUUUCUAAGUCGGGGGUGAAAUCCUGGAGCUCAACUCCAGAACUGCCUUCGAUACUGGAAAUCUCGAGUCCGGGAGAGGUGAGUGGAACUCCGAGUGUAGAGGUGAAAUUCGUAGAUAUUCGGAAGAACACCAGUGGCGAAGGCGGCUCACUGGCCCGGUACUGACGCUGAGGUGCGAAAGCGUGGGGAGCGAACAGG